rnacentral:lncRNA from 1 species
AAAAGAAAUUAUACAAAAUUGCAUUUCUUGUUCGGAACUUAUAUUUGUUUAGCAUAACUGUUCUGUUAAUUAGCAUAAUUGUUACCAUUUUUGGAAUCAUAUUAUGAGAACUUUUGGAUAUUUCGAAUCACGAGCGGAGUGCUUUUACUAUCUAUGUUUAUGGUUUUUAUAGCAUCUUGUAUAACCGAUUGGGUGAGUUUUCUUCAGUUUUUUUUUUUUCUUUUUUAAUUUUUAUCAACAAAAGAUUGAAGAAUGUCGGCAGAUGGCAAGAGUGGAUGCAUUUCCAUUUGGGAAGAUCUAGGUUAAAUUUUCGAAUCCUACACCUCCAGAUUUUUUCAGGAGUUCUGGCUCAUUGAAUCCCAUCCUUACUGAGCCUGCCGAGGAUGUACCCGGCCUACGAUGAAAACUGGAUUACCCCGCCACUUAGUAGCUACAAAGGUCGGCCGUAUUAGCCACAUAGUAAUGCUUUGGCUUUCCAUUCUUGAAUGCCAGGUUCAAGUCUUGGAUCUCAUCCCUUGGAAAUAUUUAUCAUGGGAACCGAACCCGAUCGACGAUCCCGUCCUUCAUAAUCCGGCUGACCCCUCCGCAGACUAUAAAAAAGACUGCUGCGCCCGCCACUUAAUAUUUAUACUGAAUGGAAUGUGACGUCAUCUGUUGACCAACAAAAUACCUACAAAGUGGAAAGCGGCGUAAAACUUCACAAAAAUUAAAGAAUGUUUUUAAUUUAUUUCGCUUAUUCAAAAUUGUAAGCGAAUAUUUUACUAGGUCGGCCAGAUGGCUGCCUAAUGAAAUAUUUCUCUUAUCACCACAGGGUUCAAUUCCAAGAUUCCACACCUCCAGUUUUUCAAGAUGGUCAAAGUUCGUCCCAUUGGAUUUCAGCCUUCAACUUUCAGUUUUUUGAUUCUAUCAUAUAUGUUGGCCAUCCUAUGAUGAGCUCUAAAAGUCGUCGACACUAUCUGGUACAGAAUAUCUCAAAUACGAUAUGGCGGAUGCCGGAUUGGCAGCACGAAAACUAUUACUCUAGAAGAUCUGAAUUCGAUUAUUGGAUCUUAUUUCUUAGAAAUAUUAUAAAGUCCAGGUCCGGCCUCAGGAUUCCCGUCUUCAACAAUUCUAUUGACUCUUCCACAGGAUGAGCAUGUGACAGAAUUUUAUAAUUCCGCUACUUAGUAAUCAUCAUUGAUUGGAAAGUAACGUCAUCUAUUGAUAAAAAAAUUAUGAUAUGGCGGCUUAAUUAACAUAAGUAAAAUUCCAAGUAAUGCUUUUUCUAGAC